CCUUGAAUAAAGCGGAACUUCUCUGGCGAACUGUCAGCUCGGGUCCUGUCGCCUUAUCAGCUUGGGUCCGUCCGCCCUUUCAUUGGUGCCGAAACCCAGGAAGAGUUCACCCGGCGCCAGGGGACUCCUUCCUCGGACCUCCUCGGACUCCUCCACGACCCCCCUGGGACUGACGGUCCGCCCUAGUCCAUUUUCUCCGGCUCUGGCUUCCUUCACCCAACACCGGCUCAUCCGUUAGACUCAACCUUCUUGCCGCUGGUGGCCAGAAACUUAUGGGAGAUGCCUGUACUGGUCAUACAAAAUUCACAACCCACUUAUAAAUCCAGGGGGCCGGAUACUUCAGCACGGCACACAGGACACGCUCCAACUUGCCAUCAGUGACCCCUGGGACUCCAGACUUUCAACCAGCUUUUACUCAGGAACUACCAGCUCCUGGCCACCGAGGAUCCUGCCUGCUCUCCACCAGACCAGCUAAUCUGCUGUUAAAAUGGACCUGCCUCAUCGAUGGUCCCUGUUCCUGAAAGUUUUGGCCGUGGAUGCCUGGAUGCUCUCC